rnacentral:rRNA from 1 species
GACGAACGCUGGCGGCGUGCUUAACACAUGCAAGUCGAACGGAAAGGCCCUGCUUUUGUGGGGUGCUCGAGUGGCGAACGGGUGAGUAACACGUGAGUAACCUGCCCUUGACUUUGGGAUAACUUCAGGAAACUGGGGCUAAUACCGGAUAGGAGCUCCUGCUGCAUGGUGGGGGUUGGAAAGUUUCGGCGGUUGGGGAUGGACUCGCGGCUUAUCAGCUUGUUGGUGGGGUAGUGGCUUACCAAGGCUUUGACGGGUAGCCGGCCUGAGAGGGUGACCGGCCACAUUGGGACUGAGAUACGGCCCAGACUCCUACGGGAGGCAGCAGUGGGGAAUAUUGCACAAUGGGAGGAAGCCUGAUGCAGCAACGCCGCGUGCGGGAUGACGGCCUUCUGGUUGUAAACCGCUUUCGCCUGUGACGAAGCGUGAGUGACGGUAAUGGGUAAAGAAGCACCGGCUAACUACGUG